GGCCUUCUGGGGCUUGUAGUCGGGAUCGCGCCCAAGCCAGAGACGCCUGCGCGUUGGCCGCCAACUCGCUCUAUUAGCUGCGGUUGGGGCUCGGGACCGGCUGCCAUCUUAGUCGAGGGAGUGAAGAGUCGUCGCCGCCCCGAGUCCUGGUAACAUGCAUUUAGCAGUGGCCUUCUGGAGACAGCGCCUUAACCCCAAGAAGUGACUCAAACGGUGAAAACUUCAGGUAUUGUGGCAUGCCUGUGAGAGAGAUUAGGGACAGUGAUGAUGCAGAGGGUUUGCUGUUUUGGUGGUGGUAUGACUGACAGUCGAUCACAGCUUGGUUCAAUGGGUAGCCUGACCAUGAAAUCACAACUUCAGAUUACUGUCAUUUCUGCAAAACUUAAAGAAAAUAAAAAGAAUUGGUUUGGACCAAGUCCUUAUGUGGAAGUCACAGUAGAUGGACAGUCAAAGAAAACAGAAAAAUGCAACAAUACGAACAGUCCCAAAUGGAAGCAACCUCUCACAGUUAUCGUCACCCCUGUGAGUAAAUUACAUUUUCGUGUGUGGAGUCACCAAACGCUGAAAUCUGAUGUUUUGUUGGGAACGGCUGCAUUAGAUAUCUAUGAAACAUUGAAGUCAAAUAAUAUGAAACUUGAGGAAGUAGUUGUCACUUUACAGCUUGUAGGUGACAAAGAACCAACAGAAACGAUAGGAGAUUUGUCAGUUUGCCUUGAUGGGCUACAGUUAGAGUCUGAAGUUGUUACUAAUGGUGAAACUUCAUGUUCAGAAAGUGCUUCGCAGAAUGAUGAUGGCUCCAGACCCAAGGAUGAAACAAGAGUGAACACAAAUGGAUCAGAUGACCUUGAGGAUGCAGGGUCUAGCGACAGUAGGAGGGUCAAUGGGAAUAAUUCUCCUUCACUCUCAAAUGGCGGUUUUAAACCUUCUAGGCCUCCAAGACCUUCACGACCACCUCCACCUACCCCACGUAGACCAGCAUCUGUCAAUGGCUCACCUUCUGCCACUUCUGAAAGUGAUGGCUCUAGUACAGGCUCUCUGCCACCAACGAAUACAAAUUCAAAUACAUCUGAAGGAGCAACAUCUGGAUUAAUAAUUCCUCUUACUAUUUCUGGAGGCUCAGGCCCUAGGCCAUUAAAUCCUGUACCUCAAGCUCCCCUUCCACCUGGUUGGGAGCAGAGAGUGGACCAGCAUGGACGAGUUUACUAUGUAGAUCAUAUUGAAAAGAGAACUACUUGGGAUAGACCAGAACCUCUACCUCCUGGCUGGGAACGACGGGUUGACAACAUGGGACGUAUUUAUUAUGUUGACCAUUUCACAAGAACUACGACUUGGCAGAGGCCAACAUUGGAAUCCGUCCGGAACUAUGAACAAUGGCAGCUCCAACGUAGUCAACUUCAAGGAGCUAUGCAGCAGUUUAACCAGAGAUUUAUUUAUGGGAAUCAAGAUUUGUUCGCUACAUCACAAAAUAAAGAAUUUGAUCCCCUUGGUCCCUUGCCACCUGGAUGGGAGAAGAGAACGGACAGCAAUGGUAGAGUAUAUUUUGUCAACCACAACACUCGUAUUACACAGUGGGAAGAUCCCAGAAAUCAAGGUCAAUUAAAUGAAAAGCCCUUACCUGAAGGCUGGGAAAUGAGAUUCACAGUAGAUGGAAUUCCAUAUUUUGUGGACCACAAUAGAAGAACGACUACCUAUAUAGAUCCCCGAACUGGAAAAUCUGCCUUAGACAAUGGACCCCAGAUAGCCUACGUACGGGACUUCAAGGCAAAGGUUCAGUACUUCCGGUUCUGGUGUCAGCAACUGGCCAUGCCACAGCACAUAAAGAUUACAGUGACAAGAAAAACAUUGUUUGAGGAUUCCUUUCAGCAGAUAAUGAGCUUCAGUCCCCAAGAUCUGCGAAGACGUUUGUGGGUGAUUUUUCCAGGAGAAGAAGGUUUAGAUUAUGGAGGUGUAGCAAGAGAAUGGUUCUUUCUUUUGUCACAUGAGGUGUUGAACCCAAUGUAUUGCCUGUUUGAAUAUGCAGGAAAGGAUAACUACUGCUUGCAGAUAAACCCUGCUUCUUACAUCAAUCCAGAUCACCUGAAAUAUUUUCGUUUUAUUGGCAGGUUUAUUGCUAUGGCUCUAUUCCAUGGGAAGUUCAUAGACACAGGUUUUUCUUUGCCAUUCUAUAAGCGUAUCUUGAACAAACCAGUUGGACUCAAGGAUUUAGAAUCUAUUGAUCCAGAAUUUUAUAAUUCUCUCAUCUGGGUUAAAGAAAACAAUAUUGAGGAAUGUGGUUUGGAAAUGUAUUUCUCCGUUGAUAAAGAAAUUUUAGGUGAAAUCAAGAGUCAUGAUUUGAAACCCAAUGGUGGCAAUAUUCUUGUAACAGAAGAAAAUAAAGAGGAAUACAUCAGAAUGGUAGCUGAAUGGAGGUUGUCUCGUGGUGUUGAAGAACAGACACAAGCUUUUUUUGAGGGUUUUAAUGAAAUCCUUCCCCAACAGUAUUUGCAGUACUUUGAUGCAAAGGAAUUGGAGGUCCUUUUAUGUGGAAUGCAAGAGAUUGAUUUGAAUGACUGGCAAAGACAUGCCAUCUACCGUCAUUACACUAGGACAAGCAAACAAAUCAUGUGGUUUUGGCAGUUUGUUAAAGAAAUUGAUAAUGAGAAGAGAAUGAGACUUUUGCAGUUUGUUACUGGAACCUGCCGAUUGCCAGUUGGAGGAUUCGCUGACCUAAUGGGGAGCAAUGGACCACAGAAAUUCUGCAUUGAAAAAGUUGGGAAAGAAAAUUGGUUGCCUAGAAGUCAUACCUGUUUUAACCGCCUGGACCUGCCACCCUACAAGAGUUAUGAGCAGCUGAAAGAAAAGCUAUUAUUUGCUAUUGAAGAAACAGAAGGAUUUGGACAAGAGUGACUUCUGAGAACUUGUACCACCAAAGGACAAGAACUUACUUGCAGUGUUUGUCCUUUUUCUUCUUUGCCUAUUGUACAUCUUAUAAAAUUGGACUGUGACUGUUGAGAGAGUUAUCUUGAGUGUAAGUAAAUUAAUGUUAUCAUUGAGAUUUCUCUCCCAGUGAUUCUGGAUAUCUUAACAUUUCCAGAAAUCAGAUCUGCAAAUGACUAGUCAAAACUUAACAUGAGAUUAACACAGCAAUGAAAUCUGCCUUGUCUUAUUCCACUAGAUUGUUUCCUUAACAAUUUUGUAUAUGUGUAUCAGAAGUCUCACUUGGGGAGUAAGUUUUUUUCUUUUAGAGAUUCUUCAGAUAUGCAAGGAAGUCCCUUGGUAACUAAAAUAUAUAAGAUCUUCUUAUUAAGCCUCAUGUUAAGAGAUACUUGUUUGAAGUAGCCCAACUUCUGGGGAUGUGAACAAACUUCUGGCUUGUGCUCUUCCUCUUAUUUCAGCCUGGCCUGACUGUUUUUCUUCCUUUCUGGAGCAUGAAUCCAUACAUCAUUUUGAUGUUAUCCUUAGAAAGGACAGAUGCUAGAUUCUUGUAGUUUUGUUAACUUGAAUUCAGGGAGAAGUUGGUCCCAGCCUGCAAAUGACUUUAUAACUCUCUUCAUUUGGGAGUCUGAUUGUUUUAAUUGCCUUGGAAAUACUAAACUUUACAAAUAAUGAUAACACUGUGCUUCCUUCACUAUAUAAAAUUUAACCUAGAUUUGGAAUUAAUUUAACUGAUUUCAUCAGAGGCCAUCAUUGAUAAUUUUUGUAUGUUCCUAUACAUAAAUUGCAUCUUCAUGAUUUUAUCAUAAUCCAACAACUUCAGUUAUAUUUAAUUAUUGUUAAGGAGUUCAGGUUAUAACUAGAAUGCUUUCUAAAAUGCUUUCAAAUCCAAGUAGAGGUCAGUGAAACAUCCCAUAAAAUUAUACUUUCAUUAGGGAGGGAGAGCUGUGGUAUUAGCUAAAAAGACAGGAGUCAUACAUUUACUCUCAAUACAUUUCUAGUAACCACAGAAAUGUAUUCUCUAUGUGAAUUAAAACUUCAGAUUUAUCAUUUUUCUGACAUAUGUUGGAAUAGUUUUUUCCAUUCUUUCUAUUGUCCUGAUUUGAAUAUUCUCUUCACCUCCAAAAAUUUUAACAGGUUUUCCCCUUAAUUAUUUAAUAAUAGAUUGCCCCAUUAGUAACUGAUUAAUGCACUUUGACCUUCUCUGUAGUAAUUCUUUUAACUUAGCCUAGCUUUGACUCUGUCAAGAUGGCUGCUAUCAGAGGUUUGACAUUAUGGACACUGGGAGGAAGCCUAAGCCAGCUGAGUGCCUGUCAUAGCUGAAUCUUGAUUUGAGGGUGGCCUCAUAACUCAUGAAAUAGGGACUUUGGCAGAUUUCAGUAGCAUUGCAUGAACAAGUAGUAUUGAGACAAAAUAAUCAGAGAGUAGCAAACCCCUGUUCCAUGUGGAAAGAAAAAAAAAUUAUUUUUGUCCUUAGCUACUCUUGCUUUUACAUCUUGGAACAACAAGAAGAACAUUUUUAAACUUGUGUAUCUGUACUUUAAAACACUGCCAUCAAAAAGCAGACUUAAUGUAAAAGGGUUGCCUCAUCCAGAAAUUGUUGGUGUAAAGGGGGGAGAUUGGGGUCUCCCCAGUCCUAUCUUUAUUUUUAUUUUAUCCUACAUAUGCUAGGAAAUGUGGUAUGGUCUCUUAAAAGCCCUAUUUGUCUUCAGAGUAGCAACCCUGCCUUUUUGUUGUGGAGGGGGAAAGCUAUUGCUUUGUCUUACAGAGCAAACGUCUGCCAACUGCCCCUUCGUUACAUAAGUCUGAACUUUGGUAAUAUGUGACUAUGGAGAUUAAGCCUUCUGUAAAGACUUCUUAUUGAGGUGAAUGCUCAUAUUGAAAUGUAGUUACCUACAAUAUUUACUAGAGAUUUAUGAGAUUAAAUUAAGAGAUAACGUAAGAAAGUAGACUUUUUUUGUUCUACAUAAUGCUUGAUGAUUCAUUUAGGGACCUAGAAAUGUUGUGUGAAAAUGUAUAAAUAUCACUCAAAAGGCUUUCUGCCCUAUAUUUUUAAAAUACAGAAUAGUUAUAUUUGAAGUAGUCCUGGCCCUAGUUCUAUAGGGCUUGGCUAUUUAAUAUUUUUAUGGAAGAAACGUUUAGUUCCGGAAAAGGUAAAUGCUUGUAUAUAUUUUUGCAGCCUGGGAUCUCCCUUAUUCCAUUUCUUCCUUUAAUUUAAAUGGCCACAUGUAUAUGUCUCUCCCUGCUGUGUUAGGAAAAUGGGGGCUGGAUAUCCCAAGAAUCAGAGGUUAUAUAAAAAUAAUGCAAAUAGACAGUGGACAUAAAUAUCUAUCAAAUGCUAUCUUAAAUUUUGGUCCAAACUGAACAUUUGGAAAUAGAUUUAUUGUAAGUGUUUAAUUAGAGCGAUUUCUUAAAUCUGAGCUAAAUUGCUUUUAGAGUCCUUUUUCUUUGUAAGCAUUGUAAAUGCUAAUAAAUCCUGUUAAUUUUUUUACUGCAUGUUAUGUUGAAAUAAAAACAAAGUAAAAUGAGCAAUUGCCUUAUUCUUCUGCUCUUUUGGGAGGUUGGGGGAGGUAUCAUUUCACAUACCGUGGGUCAGCAGGGAAGGACAUCACUUGAUUCAUCAAAUAGAGUGAUUUAAAACUGAUCCAGCAUCUGAUAAUAACAGUGAAUUCUUGUAAUAAUUAUUUUAUGCUAUAUGAGAGUGCAGAAGAAUCUAAUUUCAUAAGACUUACAAUAACUCUAUUUAAAAUUCAGGUACUAAUUUUUCACUAGGAAAUUGACACACCAAUAUCAGUUUAUCAGAAAUUUUAGUGAAGCAUGACUCAGCUGUCCACCAAGGUCUCAUCCUAGAUGAACUAUUUCAGUGAAGCCCACUCUGCACUUUUUAUUUAUCUGAUUAAUAGUCUGAAAUGUUAUUUGGAAUGACUCAUGGAAAUUAGACUUCUGUUUUUAUAUCCUUCCUUGUUUUUAAACUCCUUUAGGUUAACUACUGCUAUUUAAUAUUGUUGGCAUCUCCAGCCCCCCUCAUUUUUUUGUUUUAGAGUUAUUUACAAAAUUAUUUGUAUAUAUGCUAUGCUUUCUUAACUAAAAAUGGGAUUGCAGCACUGGAUUGUAUAUUAUUGUAUUGGAGUUCCUUUGUUUUCUUGAACUGUAAUAGCAAAUACUCAGGUAACUACAAAUUUCACAAGGAGUCAAGUGCUCUUAUAAGGUCCUUCAGGGGAUGCCUCGCUUGCAUUUCUUUAAAAGAUGUAAGACUGUUUACAAUUAAACUUUUUGGUCCUUC